rnacentral:lncRNA from 1 species
AUGCUGGGCCGCGCUGACCUGGGUGCUCCCUCGGCCCUGGCCGGGGCGGCAUCCCUGCAGGGGCCCCGUGGGACAGCGGGCGCUGUGGCUCCUGGAAUGUUCCUGCCGACACAGCCGGCCCAAGGUCAGCGCGGGGACAGCCCGGGCAGACCCACGACAGCACCGCAGGAUUCCCACCGGGGUGAACCGUCCGCUGACGGGGGACUCCAAGCGCCUGGACAGGGCAGCGGGCCUAGGCCGCCUGCCCGCUGGGGAGGCACCGCGAGGCCGUCUGCAGCCGCUUCUGUGCCAAAUAAAGACGCACGCACCACAGAGAGACGAACUGCACUGGGUGAGGCCGAUGGCUGCUCGGCCGCGUUCCCCACCCACGGGCCACGGGGGCCCCGAGGAGCCGCGGGUCACGAGGGCGGCAGGUCGUCGCCCCCACACUCGUACUCAUACAGCUCGACGGUGCCCAGGCUGCCCGGCGCCUCCAGGAAGGGCCUCUGGGCCAGCGGGGACCGCAGGGCGCUCAGCUUCUGCUCCACGGGGCUGAGCUCGGCCUCAUACCUGCAGGGAGGGGCCCGUGAGGACAGCGCCCGCCCUCCGCGCCCACCGUGUGCACCCAACACCCUGACACCUGGGGGCAGGACAGCGGGCCUGCUGAGCAGCUGUGCCCCCCCAACACCCUGACACCUGGGGGCAGGACAGCGGGGCCUGCUGAGCAGCUGUGUGCACCCAACACCCUGACACCUGGGGGCAGGACAGCGGGCACACUGGACAGCUGUGUGCUCAGCAGCUCAGCCGCCCAGCUGGCUCCCCACCCUGUCCCCCUCUGUGGGAUUUGCGCCCCUUGGUGGCCUGCGGGUGCCACCCCCAGAGGGUAGAUGCAGCCCUGAUAGGUGCCCCACAGGGGCCCUGGGGGGACCCUCCGCAGGCUGGGGGAGGGCCUGACUCAGCAGGAAGAGCUCCCAGAGUCGGCGCUAAGGCCGGGCACGUGGGGCAGAACCAGGCACGGUUCGGAGUCAGAGUGUCCCCACCCUCGGCAGUAGGGCCACAGUCCCUUGGAAACCCUCCCCCAGAAGCGGCAGCCAGAGGUGGCGUCCUCCCUGCCCCAGCUGGCAGCCCUUUUCCCUGCCCCCGUUCCCGGCCACCCCUCCUCCCGGGACCCAGUUCUCCGGCCCCCCGUGCACUCACCCAUCCUCCCAGGGGUCCCCCGCGGCCUCCUCGGCCACCAGGAUGUCGUACUCCUCAGCAG